GUUAGCGCUACCUAGCAACUAAAUUCAGUAGUCAGUAAAAUAAACUGACCUACAAAAUUAAUGUCCUCCUCCAGAACAAAAGGCAAAGAAGAGAGUUUGAGAUCAAAGAAGCCACUGGAUAGGAGACGGGAGCAGAAGAAGAAAGGAAUGGACGAUACCAGCUUAAACAAGAAGGGACCACUACUACUAGUAGUCUAGUACUACUCAGUCAAAAUCAUCCAAACCCUCCCAACCUCUCAACCCACUAGUAUCAAAACCAAUUCAACCUCAGAGACACUCUACCACAGAAACCAGGCCCUCUCCUAAACAGCAGCACAGACCCCCACUACUAAACUAAAAGCAGAUACCAAACCUCUUUUACCAGAAGCUAGUAGUCUCUCUGACCAUAGCUUGUCUUAUUCUUCAAAGGAUCAUAAGUCCUCACCUAAACUCUCUCAAUCUACCAAACGCCCAGAGACUCAUGUUUCCAAAAACUUAGAUCUACAUUCCCCCAAAUUGCCCAGUUCCUGUUCUUCCAAAAACUCAAACUCUCAUUAUUCAGAGUCAAGUACUAAAGAGACUCAUAGACGAGGGGCCACUGAUAGACGUGAAGGGAAAAGAGGAGUUCAGAGUACUUUGUGCUAAGUUUCAGUCUGAUUUACCGUCAGAAGAGCCCUUAUAGUAUCGUCCAACUCAAGGACGUGAUACCUCAAGUGGUGCUCUUGUUGCUACUAUAAAGACUAUCUUCAUUCAUUGGAGAAUAAUCUAUUAGGAUUGGUACACCAUCUACAAUAAAGGACUGCCAAUGAUACACAGAGAGAAGUAGAUACAAUGUCUCACUGGUUCCGUCACAUUGCAGAGGGAGAACCUUGUGAUACUUACCUUAAACUAUCAUCAGGUGAUCUGGCUAGAACCUCUGAGAUGAUAGAGACACAGCGGAGUACCUUUGACGGGAAUGAUGCUCUCUGUGUCCAGAACCUUCAAUCUAUUGCUGACUACACAUGAUUUAUUGACAAGAGUAGAGAAAGCGGUUGAGAGGUUCUUGUAUUGGGUCGAAGAAGUAAUGAUAUAUGAAGCAGUUACUUCAAGUCCCAGUAGUCAUGAUGUCUUAGUCACUGGUGGAGUAGCAGAUGAAGUGUUUGAUGACAGUGGAGUGAGUAGUAUCAGUGGUAGCAGCACUGGAGGAGGAGGGAAUACUAGCAGCUGUCGUUCAAGAGAUGAGUCAACACCAGAUACUACUAAUGUUCAUGGCGGUAAUUGCUAGUCACCCUCAAGGAGGAACAUUGGUCUUGAUGAUUCUAUUAGUGAGAAGUGGGCUCAAGCUAUAGCAGCAACUGCUCAGAUGCCGAAGAAUAUCUUGAGAUGAUUUGUAGAGAUUUAUCUGACGAACUAGCACAAUUUGAUCUAAGGAAGGAACAAAAACUGAGAUGGGUUUUCCUUGAUCUUGCUGCUGGACAAAUGGAGUAAAAUGAGAAAUGAAUUUUCAUGUAAAUACAGUUUGUCUCUAAUAAUAACACAGUAACAACAGCAGGAGGAGGAGGAGGAGACAACAAGUGAAGAUUGUUCCUCCAUCAAGAAAUGAUUUGUGGAAAACUAUUAUUUGCUUAUAAUAAUUUUCUUUUAAUAUUUUUAACAUCAAAAUUGUAUUGCUUUAUGAAUUAUAAACAAAAAAUCA